UACGGUAGGGUGCAAGCGUUGUCCGGAAUUAUUGGGCGUAAAGAGCUCGUAGGCGGUCUGUCGCGUCUGCUGUGAAAACUCAGGGACUUAACCCUGGAAGCCUUGCAGUGGGUACGGGCAGACGUAGAGGUGCGGUAGGGGAGACUGGAAGUUCCGUGGUGUAUGAGCGGUAGAAAUGACGCAGAUAUCAGGAGGAACACCGGUGGCGAAGGCGGGUCUCUGGGCCGUAACUGACGCUGGAGGAGCGAAAGCAUGGGGAGCGAACAGG
rnacentral:rRNA from 1 species